rnacentral:rRNA from 1 species
AUGGGGGAGCAGCGGGAGGCUUCGGCUUCGGCGGCGGCGGUAGCGCACAGCAGCAACAUGCAGCGUGUGAAAGUGUACCGUUUGAGGGAUGGAGGCAAAUGGGAUGAUCAGGGCACAGGGCACGUUGCUGUUGACUACAUCGAGGGUUCAAAAGAACCUGGUUUGACUGUUUUGGAUGAAGAAGACAACGAAACACUGCUUGUCCACAAUAUUACAUCUGAAGAUAUCUACAGAAAGCAAGAAGAAACAAUCAUCUCAUGGAGGGAUCCAGAAGCAGCAACAGAAUUAGCAUUGAGCUUUCAGGAGGCUGCAGGGUGCUCCUACAUAUGGGACAACAUCUGUGAUAUUCAGAGAAACCUUCAGUUUAGUAACCUUGGCGGUCUUGAAGUUUGUCCUCGUCCAGCUUCGGAACAUCUAGAAGCCUCUAGAGUAUUGCAUUCACACGAUGAGUCCUUUCGCUCUGUUAACGGUGAACUGAGGGAACUUCCACCUGUUGAUUUGUCCAAUCUUCCUUUGAUUUUGAAGACUAUAUUGGAGGGUGGCAUUACUGAUCAAAUGCGCGUGGCCGAGUUGAUAACACAAGAUCGUGAUUUUUUCCCCAAGCUGCUGGAUAUUUUUAGAAUGUGUGAGGAUUUAGAGAAUUUAGAUGAUCUCCACAUGAUAUUCAAAUUAGUCAGGGGAAUCAUAUUGCUGAACAGCCCAUCGAUCUUUGAUAAGAUAUUCUCUGAUGAGCUUAUUCUUGACAUCAUAGGCGCCCUUGAAUAUGAUCCAGAGGUUGCUAAAGUGCAAAAGCAUCGCAUUUUUCUGAAGGAUCAUGUAGUUUUCAAAGAGGCCAUACCUAUUAAAAAUAUUUCUGUGGUUUCAAGGAUACAUCAAACGUACAGAAUAGGGUAUCUAAAGGAUGUUAUAUUACCCAGAAUAUUAGAUGAUGCCACUCUGGCUAGUCUUAACACGAUGAUACACACGAACAAUGCUGCUGUUAUUUCCUUACUGAAGGAUGAUGCUUGCUUUAUCCAAGACUUAUUCUCUAGGAUGAGAUCACCAAAUAUUUCUAUGGAAUUGAAAAGAGAAUUGGUCCUGUUCUUGCAUGAGUUCUGCACUCUUAGUAAGAGUUUGCCGCUUGUACAACAACUACGACUGUUUCGGGAUCUUUCAGGUGAAGGUGUAUUUGAAAUUGUAUCUGAUGUGUUGCAGAGUCAAGACAGAAAAAUUGUUUCGGCUGGGACGGAUAUCGUUAUUCUUUUUCUUAAUCAGGACCCUAACCUAUUGAGGUCAUAUAUUGUCCAGCAAGAAGGAAAUUCUCUUCUUGGACUUUUGGUUAAAGGAAUGGUAACUGACUUUGGUGAGCAAAUGCACUGUCAAUUUCUGGAAAUCCUCCGUAUAUUAAUGGAUUCUUUCACUAUGUCUGGAGCACAUAGAGACGUAAUUAUUGAGAUUUUCUAUGAAAGGCACCUUGACUAUUUGGUUGAUGUAAUAGCAUCCUCUUGUCCUUCGAGGAGUGCUACCCGAACAUCACCUAACUCAGCUGUCGUUGGUGGAAACACUGAAGAGCAUCGUAUCAAGCCAGAAAUUCUGUUAAAUGUCUGCGAACUAUUAUGCUUUUGUGUAGUCCAUCAUCCCUAUAGAAUUAAGUGCAACUUCCUUAUGAACAAUGCGAUAGAGAAAAUCCUUACCAUGACUCGACGAAGUGAGAAGUUUUUGGUUGUUGCAGCUGUCAGGUUUAUGCGCACUAUUAUAUCCAGAAAUGAUGAACAUCUUAUUCGCCAUGUUGUCAAGUUUAACUUGUUGAAACCAAUAAUUGACGCCUUUGUGGAAAAUGGGGAUAGAUAUAACAUGCUACAAUCUGGAGUACUCGAACUGUUGGAACACAUACGGAAGGAAAAUCUAAAACCUCUUGUUAUUUAUGUUACCGAGUCUUUCUCAGAUCAACUUAUGAAGUUUGAACACUUUGGGAGCAUUCAGGCCUUCAAACUCAAGUAUCAACAGUACUUGGAGAGUGCCGAUAUGAAAUUAAGUGCUAGUGUGCCUGACAUGAGAAAGAAGGCAGAAGGAAGAGGUCUUGAGAAGGAAGAGGAAGAUUAUUUCAACGAGAGUGACGAGGAAGAUUCAGUAAGGCGGACUAAACAUGCACACGGUGAACAUAAUGAAGAAAGCAAGGAUGAUGUAGCCAAUGGAAGCGAAACUGAUGACAUAUCCUCAAGGCCUAAAUCUGGUGGGCUUGUGGACUAUGCCGAUGACGACGACGAGGAUUUCAAUCCGCCACCCAAGGAGCCUGAUAGGCCUGUGGAUGACGAUGAGCUCUUAACUAUAUCCACAGUGAAGCGGAAAUUAGUGAACCCGGGGGAUGGCAAACAUGCAGAUGGGGAAGUUCGCAAGAGACAAAAGAUUGAAACAAGGAUUACUUGUGCCAAGAUUUCUGCUUUGACUAAUCUGGCUAGCAAACACAAGGAUACACUUGCCUCAAGCUCGCCAAGUUGCGAGGCCAAUGGUGUUUUGGGGGAGCAUGCUACACAUUCUGAUGAGCAUCAACAUUCCACAGACACUGCAGAAACCUCACGGCAAGUUGGCGGUGAUUGUAUCAAAGCAAUGGGCAGUUUGUCUAGUGAGAAGGCUGUAAAUACCACCAAAACAAACGAUUCAGAGCCCUAUUCAGUGAGAUGA